GUUAUUUCUUCUGAACAUAUACUAAAAUUGGAAUAAUACAGAAUAUUAGCAUGGCCCCUGCGCAGGGAUGACACUCAAAUUUGUGACAUUUUUUCACAGAUUUUU
rnacentral:snRNA from 1 species